UGGACAGAUUAUUGCAUUCGACUGUAUUCACGGCGUGAAACGGGGGAUUACACUAUUUUUAAAAGGAAAGUGAAUCAAUUAACAUAAUAGACUCCU
rnacentral:pre_miRNA from 1 species